rnacentral:rRNA from 1 species
CGGGUGAGUAACGCGUGGGUAACCUGCCUCGUACAGGGGGAUAACAGUUAGAAAUGACUGCUAAUACCGCAUAAGACCACAGCACCGCAUGGUGCAGGGGUAAAAACUCCGGUGGUAUGAGAUGGACCCGCGUCUGAUUAGCUAGUUGGUAAGGUAACGGCUUACCAAGGCGACGAUCAGUAGCCGACCUGAGAGGGUGACCGGCCACAUUGGGACUGAGACACGGCCCAAACUCCUACGGGAGGCAGCAGUGGGGAAUAUUGCACAAUGGGGGAAACCCUGAUGCAGCGACGCCGCGUGAGCGAAGAAGUAUUUCGGUAUGUAAAGCUCUAUCAGCAGGGAAGAAAAUGACGGUACCUGACUAAGAAGCACCGGCUAAAUACGUGCCAGCAGCCGCGGUAAUACGUAUGGUGCAAGCGUUAUCCGGAUUUACUGGGUGUAAAGGGAGCGUAGACGGAUGGGCAAGUCUGAUGUGAAAACCCGGGGCUCAACCCCGGGACUGCAUUGGAAACUGUUCAUCUAGAGUGCUGGAGAGGUAA